UAGGGAAUAUUGCACAAUGGAGGAAACUCUGAUGCAGCGACGCCGCGUGAGUGAUGAAGGCCUUCGGGUCGUAAAGCUCUGUCGCAGGGGAAUAACAAAAUGAAGGUACCCUGAAAGAAAGGAUCGGCUAACUUCGUGCCAGCAGCCGCGGUAAGACGAGGGAUCCUAGCGUUGUUCGGAAUCAUUGGGCGUAAAGCGGGAGCAGGUGGCCAUGUAAGUCAGGUGUGAAAGCCUAGGGCUCAACCCUAGAAGUGCAUUUGAUACUGCGUGGCUUGAGUGUGGGAGAGGCUAUUAGAAUUCUUGGUGUAGUGGUGAAAUACGUAGAUAUCAAGAGGAAUACCGGAGGCGAAGGCGGAUAGCUGGCCCAACACUGACACUCAUUCCCGAAAGCGUGGGGAUC
rnacentral:rRNA from 1 species